UCUUGCGCAAUGGGCGAAAGCCUGACGCAGCCAUGCCGCGUGAAUGAUGAAGGUCUUAGGAUUGUAAAGUUCUUUCGCUCGUGACGAUGAUGACGGUAACGAGAGAAGAAGCCCCGGCUAACUUCGUGCCAGCAGCCGCGGUAAUACGAAGGGGGCUAGCGUUGUCCGGAAUUACUGGGCGUAAAGGGCGCGUAGGCGGUUUUGCAAGCCAGAGGUGAAAUGCCUGAGCUCAACUUAGGAAUUGCCUUUGGGACUGCGAGGCUUUGAGGACGAGAGAGGUGAGUGGAAUUCCCAGUGUAGAGGUGAAAUUCGUAGAUAUUGGGAAGAACACCGGUGGCGAAGGCGGCUCACUGACUCGAUACUGACGCUGAGCGCGAAG
rnacentral:rRNA from 1 species